CAGCCGCCACGGUAAUACAGAGGGUGCGAGCGUUAAUCGGAUUUACUGGGCGUAAAGCGUGCGUAGGCGGCUUUUUAAGUCGGAUGUGAAAUCCCUGAGCUUAACUUAGGAAUUGCAUUCGAUACUGGGAAGCUAGAGUAUGGGAGAGGAUGGUAGAAUUCCAGGUGUAGCGGUGAAAUGCGUAGAGAUCUGGAGGAAUACCGAUGGCGAAGGCAGCCAUCUGGCCUAAUACUGACGCUGAGGUACGAAAGCAUGGGGAGCAAACAGGAUUAGAUACCCCAGUAGUCCCCUGUCUCUUAUA
rnacentral:rRNA from 1 species